UCUAUCAGUUUGCAAGAGGUGGAAACCCAGAUCAAGGGCAGACUACGGAGACCUGAAUAAAGAGAAGCAUGUUUUAGAGAUAGUGUGGUGGAUGUGGUAGGUAUGACUUGGAGUAAGGAAAAUCUAACUUUGAAUCCAGCCUGAAACUAAGGAGCUGUGAGACCCCAAUUUUAAAUGAACAAACCUCCAAAGAAUGGACGAGUCCCUUAAAAAGAGUCCUUCAAAGAAAAUGUGGAUUGAAGAUAAUUCCGAUGAGCACCUAAGUGAAAAAGAAGAAAAUGGCAGACAGACCUGGUGCUUCUAUUAUUACAUGCUUUCUGUCAAUUACAUUACAAGACCUUUGAAGUCUGAGUGUUAGGCCAAGUCUAAUCAUCUGGCCUGAGACUGUCCCUUAAGCUUCACCAAGGCUUUCCAGUUUCCCUUCUGCUACAUCCUCCAGAUGCCCAGACAAUGCCAUCUGACACCCUGCUAUACCCUAAGGACUCCUAGACCUUGCAAUCUACUAUGUCACUUUAAUGACUACCAGGUCUUUCCAUCUAGCCAUGCUUUGUCUCUCCUCUAAUUAGGGAUGACUUUUCUUUUUUAUUUCCAUCAUUAGUGUUUGGUAUACACUGGAUUAA